rnacentral:tRNA from 1 species
CAAGAAAUAGUCUAACGUAGGAUCUUAGCUUUGGGAGCUAGGGGUGGGGGUUAAAACCCCUCUUUCUUGA